GCCCCGGUCCCCGCCGGCCUCCGGCUGCUGCUGCCGCCGGUGCUGCCGCGGGGCCGGAGCGGCGGCCGGGGCCGGGCUUGCCCUUGGCUUCGCCUCGCUCCGGGAGCCUUGGCGUGGGGACAGGGGCUGCAGCCCCGCGCCGGGUCCCUGGUGGCGCCCAGGGUGGCUUUAGCAUCUCUUAAGUGUCAUUAGCGGAAAAGUCAUUCAUUUGAUCCCUGGUGAAAAGGAUCGCUAAUCCCAGGGAACGGCGUGCUCAGAGCAAGUGAGAGGACAGGCAGAAAGAAACUUUUGGGAGAGAACGGUCUACUCUUGCCUCGCCUCUGUUUCGCUUAUUUAUUUUGAAGUACUGUAAUAGGUUAAUGCGUUUCCAGGAAAGUCAAUAGAGAAGAGGCGCCACAGAUGCUGUUUACAUGUUUGUUUCUGUCCUCUUGAAACUAUGCUGAGUUGAGUUCUCUGCAGCUGAACGCUUGCGAGGAGGUUUCUGUUAGCCCAGCAGCGUUUCUGGUGCACAGGAGCUGCUCUGGGAGCCGUCUGUAGGUGCUCCUGGCUAUGGGUGGUGCAGCGGCUGUAGGCGUAUCACUGAAGCACGCAUUCCAGCCGGGCAGUGAGCCCAGCCAUUGAAAACUUGGGAAUUUCUGCGGUGCGAAGUUUUUAGAUACCAUGCAUCAGAGGCGCUUGUGCUCUGCAACUACAACCAUCAGCCUGUGCUCAGAGGACACAGAGGAGAAUCUCUCUGACACUGGCAUGACCUUGAAUGCACCAUGUGACUGUAGCUGCUUCUUCAGUGCUGCCUAGGAAUGAAGUCAGAGAGAGAAAUGUGGAGAUGCGUAGUUGUAAAAGUAGCAGUGUGUUAAGGAAAGGCAUCUUAAUUUGGAUAAGUAAUCACAUGGGGAAGAGUCAUACGGGGAGCAAUGUUGCCUCCAGUUCCAUUCUCUGUUCAUCGCUGCUGUCUCAGAUCCACAGGAAUUCCCACCAGUGGCUGACACAGGUCUGUGCUGUGCACACUCACUCCUUGAAGGGUAGCACAAACAGCCCAGUUGUAUAA
rnacentral:lncRNA from 1 species